rnacentral:rRNA from 1 species
UACAGAGGUCUCAAGCGUUGUCCGGAAUCAUUGGGCGUAAAGAGCGUGUAGGCGGUCCGGUAAGUCCGCUGUGAAAGUCGGGGGCUCAACCUCGAAUGCCGGUGGAUACUGUCGGGCUAGAGUGCGGAAGAGGCGAGUGGAAUUCCCGGUGUAGCGGUGAAAUGCGCAGAUAUCGGGAGGAACACCAAUGGCGAAGGCAGCUCGCUGGGACGGUACGUGACGCUGAGGCGCGA